UACAGAGGGUGCGAGCGUUAAUCGGAGUUACUGGGCGUAAAGGGCGCGUAGGCGGUUUAAUAAGAUGUGUGUGAAAACCCUGGGCUUAACCUGGGACGUGCAUACAAGACUGUUAGACUAGAGUGCAGUAGAGGGUAGUGGAAUUUCCGGUGUAGCGGUGAAAUGCGUAGAUAUCGGAAGGAACACCGGUGGCGAAAGCGGCUCACUGGACCACAACUGACGCUGAUGCGCGAAAGCUAGGGGAGCAAACAGGG
rnacentral:rRNA from 1 species